GGGGAAUUUUGGACAAUGGGCGCAAGCCUGAUCCAACCAUGCCGCGUGAGUGAAGAAGGCCUUCGGGUUGUAAAGCUCUUUCGGACGGGAAGAAAUGGCGGGCUCUAACAUAGCCUGUCGAUGACGGUACCGUAAGAAUAAGCACCGGCUAACUACGUGCCAGCAGCCGCGGUAAUACGUAGGGGGCAAGCGUUGUCCGGAUUUACUGGGUGUAAAGGGUGCUCAGGCGGAUUUGUAAGUCAGAGGUGAAAUCUUACAGCUUAACUGUGAAACUGCCUUUGAUACUGCAAGCCUAGAGUAUGGAAGAGAGUGAUGGAAUAUCUGGUGUAGCAGUGAAAUGCGUAGAUAUCAGAUAGAACACCAAUGGCGAAGGCAGUCACUUGGUCCAUUACUGACGCUAAAGCACGAAAGCGUGGGUAGCAAACA
rnacentral:rRNA from 1 species